rnacentral:rRNA from 1 species
UACGAAGGGUGCAAACGUUGCUCGGAAUUAUUGGGCGUAAAGCGCACGUAGGCGGCAUUGCAAGUCGGAUGUGAAACUCCCUCGGGCUUAACCAAGGAAGUGCAUCCGAAACUGCAGUGCUUGAGUACUUAAGAGGAUCGCGGAAUUCCCGGUGUAGAGGUGAAAUUCGUAGAUAUUCGCAAGAACACCAGUGGCGAAGGCGGCUUACUGGUCCGGUUCUGACGCUGAGGCGCGAAAGCGUGGGGAGCAAACAGG